UAGGGAAUCUUCCACAAUGGGCGAAAGCCUGAUGGAGCAACGCCGCGUGUGUGAUGAAGGCUUUCGGGUCGUAAAGCACUGUUGUAUGGGAAGAACAGCUAGAAUAGGAAAUGAUUUUAGUUUGACGGUACCAUACCAGAAAGGGACGGCUAAAUACGUGACAG
rnacentral:rRNA from 1 species